UGGUUUGAGGCUUGAAGAA
rnacentral:snRNA from 1 species